GGCGGCGUGCCUAACACAUGCAAGUCGUACGAGAAAGUUGGCUUCGGCCGAUGAGUAAAGUGGCGCACGGGUGAGUAAUGCGUGGAUAAUCUGCCCUUUAAGUUGGGAAUAACGUACCGAAAGGUGCGCUAAUACCUGAUAAUACUGCAUAACUACUGUUGUGUAAGUCAAAGAAGGCCUCUGUUUACAAGCUUUGCUGAAGGAUGAGUCCGCGUACCAUUAGCUGGUUGGUGGGGUAAUGGCCUACCAAGGCUACGAUGGUUAGCUGGUCUGAGAGGAUGAUCAGCCACACUGGAACUGAGACACGGUCCAGACUCCUACGGGAGGCAGCAGUGAGGAAUAUUGCGCAAUGGGGGCAACCCUGACGCAGCAACGCCGCGUGAGUGAGGAAGGUUUUCGGACCGUAAAGCUCUGUCGAGCGGGAAGAAAUGUAUCAUGGCUAAUAUCCAUGAUACUUGACGGUACCGCUAAAGGAAGCACCGGCUAACUCCGUG
rnacentral:rRNA from 1 species